rnacentral:lncRNA from 1 species
GCCAGGAUGUCUUACCUCAAUCAAUUUGGUAUUCGUAUUACUACGUCACAUCAUAUGUUUAUGUUAUAUGAAAUAGUUAAAUUUAUAAGAUUUUUUAUUUGAAAGUGAUUACGAGUUUGUGUUUGAAAAUGACGCAUUCCAAUUUACUAUGCAGAAGAUAUACCAUACAUUCAAGCGCAUCAGGUAUCAUUUGUGAAGUUCGGAAUAUUUUUCUACUGGGUGUAGGUGUCUUCCGAUGAACUUUUUGUUUAGAAAAAAGACGACAGGGAACAUUAAGAAUUUUAAUUUUUCUAAGCUUUAUACUGCUAUUUCUCAUGAACUUCACCUUCUCAUUAAAGAGAAAAUUUUCUAUUAAAAAGUGGAACUGAAGGUACAUAUUUCUUGUUUUGGGUUAUAAUAAUUCCUAUUUUGUGAAGAACCAC